CUCCCUAGUAGCGGCGAGCGAGCGGGAAGAGCUCAAAUUUAUAAUCUGGCACCUUCGGUGUCCGAGUUGUAAUCUCUAGAAGUGUUUUCCGCGUUGGACCGCACACAAGUCUGUUGGAAUACAGCGGCAUAGUGGUGAAACCCCCGUAUAUGGUGCGGACGCCCAGCGCUUUGUGAUACACUUUCAAUGAGUCGAGUUGUUUGGGAAUGCAGCUCAAAUUGGGUGGUAAAUUCCAUCUAAAGCUAAAUAUUGGCGAGAGACCGAUAGCGAACAAGUACCGUGAGGGAAAGAUGAAAAGCACUUUGGAAAGAGAGUUAACAGUACGUGAAAUUGUUGGAAGGGAAACGCUUGAAGUCAGACUUGCUUGCCGGAGCUUGCUUCGGUUUGCAGGCCAGCAUCAGUUUUCCGGGGUGGAUAAUGACGGUUUGAAGGUAGCAGUCUCGGCUGUGUUAUAGCUUUCCGUUGGAUACAUCCUGGGGGACUGAGGAACGCAGCGUGCUUUUUGCGAAAGACUCGUCUUUUUCACGCUUAGGAUGCUGGUGGAAUGGCUUUAAACGACCCGUCUUGAACCCACGGACCA
rnacentral:rRNA from 1 species